CCUACGGGAGGCAGCAGUGAGGAAUAUUGGUCAAUGGACGAGAGUCUGAACCAGCCAAGUAGCGUGAAGGAUGACUGCCCUAUGGGUUGUAAACUUCUUUUAUAAAGGAAUAAAACGAGGCACGUGUGCCUUUUUGCAUGUACUUUAUGAAUAAGGAUCGGCUAACUCCGUGCCAGCAGCCGCGGUAUACGGAGGAUCCGAGCGUUAUCCGGAUUUAUUGGGGUUAAAGGGAGCGUAGAUGGGUUGUUAAGUCAGUUGUGAAAGUUUGCGGCUCAACCGUAAAAUUGCAAUUGAUACUGGCAGUCUUGAGUACAGUUGAGGUAGGCGGAAUUCGUGGUGUAGCGGUGAAAUGCUUAGAUAUCACGAAGAACCCCGAUUGCGAAGGCAGCUUACUAAACUGUGACUGACAUUGAUGCUCGAAAGUGUGGGUAUCAAACAGGAUUAGAUACCCCGGUAGUC
rnacentral:rRNA from 1 species